CCUACGGGGGGCAGCAGUGAGGAAUAUUGGUCAAUGGGCGCGAGCCUGAACCAGCCAAGUCGCGUGAGGGAAGACGGUCCUAUGGAUUGUAAACCUCUUUUGUCGGGGAGCAAAAGACGCCACGCGUGGCGUUCCGAGAGUACCCGAAGAAAAAGCAUCGGAGAACUCCGUGCCAGCAGCCGCGGUAAUACGGAGGAUGCGAGCGUUAUCCGGAUCUAUGGGGUUUAGCGGGUGCGCAGGCGGAAGAUAAAGUCAGCGGUAAAAGUGAGGGGCUCACCCUGUUCGAGCCUUUGAAACUGGUUUGCUAGAGUGCUCUAGGAGUAGGCGGAAUGCGAGGUGUAGCGGUGAAAUGCAUAGAUAUGACGAAGAAUUCCGAUUGCGAAGGCAGCAUACCGGCGCUCAACUGACGCUCAUGCGCGAAAGUGUGGGUAUCGAACAGGAUUAGAUACCCCAGUAGUC
rnacentral:rRNA from 1 species